rnacentral:rRNA from 1 species
UUGACCUCGGAUCAGGUAGGGAUACCCGCUGAACUUAAGCAUAUCAAUAAGGCGGAGGA